UGCAAUUGUACUGAAAUAUCAGGACCUCUGUGGUGAGGGUCCCAGAAACAAAUUCCCAAGGACGCCAGGGGAAUAACUGCAGCGUAGCUCGUUUGCUCGUGUCCACAGCCGGCAGACACAGAUGCACUGUAGAGAGAGCAGCUUUAGGAGCGCACAGCCAAAGCCCAAAUGCUGUUGGCUAAGCAAUUACAGAGCUGUGGCUCGACCUAGCCUGGCCUCUGAGCCCCUGCUUGCUCACUUCACUAUAGGCAUGGCAGCCUUUUGGUUCUUCAGACCCCCAAGCCAUCUCUGCCUCCCUUGGGGCCUUAGCACCUGCAGCUGUGUCUGAAAGCCACCUGCCUGCACACCUGCACCUUGCUGCUGUCACAGGUGCACGCUGCUGCCACCCACCCGGAACACGUCGGUCUGCAGAGUGGCCUCCAUCCCAGAGGAGAGCACAGCCUGCAGAGGCUGGCAGAUGCCUGUCUGGUGCGCUGUGCUUCAGGGUGUGUCUCUUCUCCCGGCACGCUCCCAUCCCACCUCUAGUUCAUGAGUAAUCCUUGGGACACACUAAGAAGAUGCUCCCCAUGGUCACAGUCACCUGCUGGGGACUUGGGGGGCUUCUGAUCACCCCUACAUGGUCUGUUACCAUGGAAAGCAGACAAAACUUUUCCAGAGCUGGAAAUGAAGUUUGAGUCUGGUCUACUCUCACUCCUUUGACGCAGGGAGGCUCAGUAACUUGCCUAGGGUCACACAACAAAACAGUGUCCUGACUCUGGGUCUUUUAUGUCUUAUCUGGUGCUCUCUCUAUAGGUCCAGGAAGGGCUCCAGGGUUAAAAUCAAUGUCAGAGUGACAGGGGAACAGAUGCUCCCACACCAGCGGCAGACGGGCAGCUACAUCCAGACAUGACAUAAGAGGUGGUGGCCCCAGCUUCUCAGCACUGGGGGGCUGCCUCACUUGGUCACUGUGGGCUCAUCGCUCUAUCUCUCACUGCCUCAGUUUCCCCCAUGAAACAGGGGCUGUUUGAUGACAAAGGCAGUACGAUUCAGCUGCAGCCUAUUUUUAGCUUCCUAUUGUCUCGUGGCUGAGAAGGAAGCAUGAGUAGAAAACAGAAAAUUCCAAGGCUGGGCAGGAGAAGGGGAUGUCAGGGCCCAGCCCGGCUAACUGUAAACACAGCUACAAAAAGGCUCUGAAGCAUGAGGUCAGGGCCCAAGGCAGGAGGGCUACCAGGCUGUGGAUAAGAGCGAAUUCUGGAAUCAGGGAUGGAUGACUGACAUCAGCUGCUGGGAAACCCAUGCUCAUUCCUAAACGUGGGCCUGAGGAACGAGAGGGGCUUCCAGGUGGGCCACCUUGUCCUCUAUGAGGAAGCUACCUAGGCCUUCUGAGCACCUUCCAGCUACGACAUCAAAGGACUCAUGGGAAACUCACCAGCCAAACUCGGGGCCAGGGGUGACGAGUGUGUGAUCCUGCUCUGUCCGUGAAGGGCUUUCACACGUGAGGCUCAGUUAUACUCCAAGCUCAAAGCCCUUUUGUGAUGUCACAUGCUUGGAUAUAGGAGCAAGCCGGUUGCAAGGUUUCCAUCCCUUUCUAAAUUGCCCCCUCUUCUCAUCUAGACCCCGGAAAGCCAGUUACCCCAGAGAAAAAUGACUUACACUUCUGUCGUGAUGAAUCCAGUGAGCUCUGACAAGAAGAGGAAGAGGAUGAAAAGGCAGCAGCAGAUGGAGACUGUGGGAGACACAGACAGCGUCAGGGAUGCAGGAUGCUCCACACAGGGGGCCAGUCCCCACUGCCCCUCCUGUACCCUGGAGGAAAGCCGCUUAGAGGCCCCAGCACACACAGGGUUGGUCUCCUCACACAGGCAAUGGGCUCUGCUCAGCUCCUCAAGACCUCUUUGAUGCAGAGGUCGCCCUGGAAGAGGACUGCGUGCUCAUGGACGAGGUGCUUACUGAACAUCUGGGAGAUACCAUGCGACCACCAGACUUCUCUCUCACAUCAGUGAACCAGAGACGGAGGCACGGUUUGCCACAGGUCUGACCUUCUGGCUAUAGCCGGUGUCCACCUUGGGAGUUGUCCGCUUUGCAACAGGGUGAGAGCAGACGCACUCACCAGAAGCCAUAUGGCAGCUUGGAUUCUCUUCCCAGGUUGGUGGCAUGCACAGCCCCUGUCCUGAUGCUGGCCCGUGGCAGUGGGCCAUCUCUCCUGGUCACCGUGUGGCCAUCACAGGACAGCCAGCAUGGCGCCAGGUAUGCCAUAGACUGAGAUGGACUUCCGUUUCUAUUUCUGCUUUUUUGAACUAACAGCAGCUUCGCUGGGACACAGACCUGGAGGUAACAGUAGAAAAGCAUCUCCGUCCACGUCUGUCUGUCCAUCUGCCACCUAUCUAAUUUCCUGCCUUUGGGGGAGGAAGCCCAGAAUUCAAGGGCAGAGGUGGGAAGGGCUGGCCAAAUUUUAAGCCUAGCCUUGACUACACAGCAGGUUCCAGGCUAGCCAAGACUCUCCCUCCAAGCCAAAACAGCAAACAGUAUAGAUAUUCAUUCAUAUAUGUAUAUGCAGAUAUACAUGCUUUAAGCCUCCUUUUGUUCUAAAUUAGUAACAGCAGGACAUACACCCCCUUUCAGCCACUCUUCAAGCACUUGGCAAUGUGUAGAGUUUGUGUAGACGGAGGCCUUGCGUUGUCCUGUUCACAGCACAGAGAUUAAGCGCAAACAUCCUCUCCAGUUAUGAGGUGAACCCCCCUGAGUGGCUCAGCUACCAACCCAGCUCCUGGCUCCCGCUCUCCUGCCUACGGGGGUGGUUACUGCCUCUUGGGGAACGGUCGACCAGCAGGCAAAGCAUUCUACAGCUGGACCUUGUGCCUUUCUGUCCAGAGCCACCAGGGCCUACAUUUCAGCACCAUUUUGUCCACACCGGCCCCAGUGGCUGAGGCCGGGAGUACACAGCACAGGAGGUUUUCUGGAGGUCGUUGCUGACUUUAGGAUAAAUGACGUCUUCUAGCUACUCUUCCUGCUCCACACCUGCAGAUACACCCCAGAGUCCUAACUACCCACACUGUGGUGGGGGAAGGAGACUGGGGAGGCCUUUCUCUGAGAUCUGUGUGCUUCUGCAAAGGCUUGGUACAAAGCUUCGGUCACCCAGCAGGUAGACAAGGUAACUCAGUGGGGUCCAUCGGCCCUGUCCCCCACUUAUGUAAGUGCACCUGAUUCCUGUCUCAGACCGGGGAACCAGAGGGGAGGUUUUGGCAUCACUGUGGUCUCAGGGCCUAACAGUGCUGGCUCAGAGAAGGCACAGAUAAAAAUAUAUAUUUAUUGAAUAAUUGAAUGAGUGGGAAACCACGAAAGCAGGGAGGAAGUAUUCCAACGAAGGCCUUCAGAUCUCAGAGGCUGGAUGAAGGCUUUCAAUCCAUGUUUGGGCAAGGCUUGGAGGCUCUCUGACUCCAGACUUCUGAAACUGACUCAGGCCCUGGGCAGCCGGAAUGUAACCCCAGGAGAGGCUUGCUAGUAGGAAGCCAGGUACUGCCAAAUUGGAGGGGCCAAGCUCGGGACCCUUACACCCCGAGGGAAAGUUAAGGAGUCCCUCCGAGGUUGAAAGAGCCAUGUAGGGCAGGAAACAAAAUCCACAGGCUGACGUUCGAGCCCCAGAAUUUUGCUGUCUCCUUCACAGCUAUUAAUAGCAGCCAUCCCACAGCGUAACGCAAUGGCGCAUGCCUGAGUCGGCCUGCCUGGCUGGGCUGCAUGAGCCCCAAGGACGAAGACCGAAGCCCAUUCAUCAGCACCGUCCCAGCACUUGGCACAGGGCCUGGCCCAAGGUCCAGCUUAAUAAAUAUUUGUGUACUAAAUGGUAGCUAAGGGCUGGCUUCCCAUGCCUCAGACCUUCCCCGAGUGUAAGGAAAAGAUCAUCAAACCACGUUCCUGAGGGCUGCCAGGCAGAACUUUCUAAAUAGUUAAAAACGUACACCCUCUUUGACUCAGGCCUCCUAAACCCUGGAGAGCUUCCUCGUAACAGAACAUGUGAAGACAGGACAAGAACAUCUAAGUGACAAUAGCCUAGAAUCGGGCUGGCCGCCCUAGGUGCCAUGGGCCAGCUGGAGAGAAGGUAGAGCUGUUGGUGGAGGUGAGAAAGGUGUGUUCCAGCAACAGAGACCAGGGAGAGGGGGCAUGCACACAGUGGUCCCUGGGCAGACAGUGUGCAGGUUCAUCCUGGGUUUUUAAGAGGGUGCAAACCUGAUUACUCAACAAGCUGGGUAACAGGAGACUAGAGUAAUCUGCAAGGAGCUGAGCUGAUAUGUGGUGGCAUGGAGGGGGCAGGAGCCGAGUUUCUCAUAGUCUAAGCAAGUCUUUUUCAGGGGCAGGAGUCUUGCCCAAGGACACACAAGUGCUCUCAGCAGGAGGAUGAAGCCAGCUCUUCCUGACAGGAAGGCCUACGAACACCCAGGAAGAGCUUUUUGUCCCCCACGACUGGAGAAGUCACCUGCUGCUUUAGGAAACCCAGCUGGAGAGAGGGCUGGGGGUAGCUAGAGUUGUGGGGGUCCCCAAAGGCCACCAAUGUACCUGAGAGAGGACUCAAGGCUGCUCACCUGGCCUACAUUCACACAGCAAGGCUGGGGCAGCUGUGAGGCUCUCUGUCUCAUACCAAGCAUCCGGGGGCAUCCAAGACCUAGUCCUGACUGCCCCUCCUGUAAGCGGUGACAUUUUGGGUGAGUUACCUCCUUUCAAUAAGCAACUGAGGCCAAAGCCUUUCCACUUACUUGCUGGUGACUUUGGUUUGUUCUGAGUAUUGUUUUUUUUUUUUGGGGGGGGGGGGCGGUGGUUCUGUUGUGGAACAGAAAUGGAUGCUAAGCUAGGACUGUGCCCACACAGCUUCUCCUGGACGCCCUGUUCACGUCUGACAUAACUAUGGCCCUUUGUCAGUGUAGAGGACUCUGCACUGUUGCCAUGCUCCUAACUCUACCAUAGGUUUCACCAGCUUCCCAGGAAGGCUGUUUCUCUGCAGGAACAGAUCCUGGAGCCUACCUUGCGUUACUCCUGAGCCCUUCUGUAAUCCACCCUUUCCUCUUCCCCCAGCCUUGCUCCUCUGGCAGCAUACCGCUCAGGUAUCUGGCAGAAGACACCCCCCUCACUCCCAGGCUGGGGCUGUGCUGCUCUGUCACAUCCGCCAGGGUUGUAGCUUAGUGGGGAAGAUCCCUCAGCGGCAAGGCUUAUGUCACAUCAGGCGUCCAUACACCCACUCGAGCAAUUGCGGUGACGCUGACUUCCCUUGCACGGCAGAGCUCGCACAGUGGAGCUGCCACGUGUAGGCCUCCCCACAGGAAAGCCACCAUCUUACAUUCCUAUUCUCUUUUCUGUGGGAGUGAGUUGCUACAGCCUCCCAACACUGGAGUAGGGAGAGGGAAGGGUAUCCACAGGGUCACCAGAGUUCUUGAGUGAGUGUGUCUCCUCUCCCCAGCUCAUUUACUCAAAGGCCUUUCCCCUAACUCUUUGGGUUCCAGAUCACCAGAGUCAUUGCUCAUCUUAUUCUCCGCUUGGGUCCUUGGGUCCUCUUGUCCUGCUGACAUGACACUAGGCUCACUUAUACCUUCCUGCCUGACGCUGUAAAUGGCUACUUUUCUGAGAUGCCCUGGCUCCUCUAACUGAACUAAGUCAGGGUGAGUUUGCGAUUUCUUUCAACGGCUGAAAUUAUUAAUAAUUCAAAUCGUUUCAGAGGCAGGAAGGUCAAAGCAUCCUUCCCAUACCUCUGAUCCGUUCUCAUGGACGUCUUUUUGUUUGUUUGUUGUUCUUGGGGUUGUUUUUUGGUAUCAGUUUUUAUUUUUCAGACAGGCUUUCUCUGUGUAGCCCUGGCUGUCCUGGAACUCAGAGAUCUGCCUGCCUUUGCCUCCCAAAUGCUGGAUUAAAGAGAUUUAAGUCACCACUCUCCAGCUACUUUUAAAUUGUGUGUGUGUGUGUGUGUGUGUGUGUGUGUGUACACGUGUGUGCGUGUGUAUAUGUGUAUGUGUGUGUGUGUGUGCAUGUGUGUGCGCGUGCGUGUGUGUGUGUGUGUGUGUGUGUGUGUCUGGAGCACUUUUCCCCACAGCUUGGAGGCACUAUCACAUCUUCAAAGCCACCUAUCAUACAGAGCCAGGGGUGGACUUUCCACUUACAGCGCCUGCUAGGACUCAGAGAGUUCUGGUUCUAGGAGACAUUGCUUUGGACUUUGAGAUCAGGGAUCCCGAACCUGCACUGGUAUUUGCUGCAUCCUACUGGUCAUGGCUGGCUGUCCUGUCUUGCAGAGUUACACAGCAAGGACAGAUAGAGAUGCUUCGAGGAGAGAGGCGAAGGGCCCGUGGGAUGCUAGGCAUGUCCCCCCCCCCCUGCACUUCCUUCUUUCCUCCUUGCUCCAGAGUUCUGCAGAGCGUGGAAGCAUGGCUAUUUGAGGGCUAGGCAGAGGGCUGGGUUAACGGUAAAAUGGGCAGUUACUCACUAAUGGCACCAGUAUAUGUUGGCUGCGUGAGGUCCUUGGGCACCUUCCUGUAGAUGUCAAACCUGUGGAGAAGAAACGGGGGGAUUAGACAACUGCAGGGUACAGGUCUUGAGGCAGAGACAGGGCUGCCACCUGGGCUAGCUCUUACCAAAGGCUCCUUCCUAACCCCGAGAGGCCUUAUGAGGGCCCCACUGUCUUAGUUGGGUUUCUAUUGCUAUGAUGAAACACCACAGCCAAAAAGCAAGUUGGGGAGGAAAGGGUUUGUUUGGCUUACACUUCCACAUUGCUGCUUAUCACCAAUGGAAGUCAGGACAGGAACUCAAGCAGGGUAGGAACCUGGAGGCAGGAACUGAUGCAAAGGCCAUGGAGAAUUGAUGCUUACUGGGCUGGUUCCCACGGCUUGCUCAGCCUGCUUUCUUAUAGAACGCAGAAUCCCCAACACAGGCCUGGUACCAUCCACAGUGGGCUGGGCCCUGUCCUGUCAGUCACUAAUUAAGAAGAUGCUCUUAAUCAGCCUGGUCCAUAGCCCGACCUUAUGGAGGCAUUUUCUCAGUUAAGGCUCAGUUCCCUUCUCCCAGAUGACUACAGUUUGUGUCAAGUUGACAUCAAUCUAGCCGGCACACCCACACGUCCCUCUGCUACGUCCCACCAUGUCUCCAUGGUGACCCAAGCUCAUUAGCCAUCAUUUUACACACUCCUGUAUUUAUGCUUGUGCACAUUUCUUGGUGGGUCUUGCCUCUGUCAGAAUGUAACUUCCUCCUGAAGACAAAGGACCUUGUGAGAUCUUGUCCCUAGCUCAGGGUGACAGGCCGUGGGCACUGAACCAAAGGAACCUCUGGGUCCAGGGGGCCAGUGGGAGGCUCUGCGUCUCUUUGACACUGGUGUACUGGGUAUACUGGUAUGCUUUUUGGCUCUGAGCCAUCUCUUCACCCCUUCUCCUACCUCUCCACCUUCCCGUCCUGGUCCACUGUCCCCACCUUCCCUGCCAGUUCCUGCCUAUAGGAUAAGGUAGGGUCAGCUAGGCAUAAGCCUGGUUCUGCCUCUGGUUGUCCACCCUAGUUUUUCUUUCCUAAACACACCACCAGGGCCAGGGAAGUCCUGGGGUAUGAUGGGAGAUUGUGGGGCUUUGGAAUCAAACGUAAUUCUUGCCCUGUCUUGGUCAAGUAGGGGUCAGGACUCUGGAAUCGGGAUUUCUGGUAAUCUUGGCUCUUCCUUGCCGUGCAUCUUUACUUCUCCAGGCCUCGGUUUCCUCAUCUAUAAAUGCAGGGCUGCUGCCACUAAACCCUGCAAGCCUACUACUGAGAGUGAGCAGCAGCCAGCCUCCUCAAAGCAGAGCUGUCAACAGGGCCCUCAGUCUGCACACCCUCAAGCUGGAAGGCGGAGCUUGCCUCUGGCGAUUGGGAAACCAAACACACCUGCUACACCUCUGUCUCCUGAAUCAAUGCUGGUACCCUACUCUGCUAAUUACAAGGAGCCUGGAGGAAUGCCAGGCUAAGGGCUGACACUUUCCCUUGCUGUUUGCUCUGUGCACAGCUGACAGGGUUGGGGUGUGACUGAGCAGCCGGGAGGUCUGCGCAACAAAACGGCCUCACUUCUCAGACACACCUCUAAUCUGGAGAGGUCUAUGAGAGGGUCAGACAUUAGCUUGCACCGUGUAUGACCUUGCCCAAGGUCAUGUCACUUCUCUGGACCUUACUACCUUCUGUGGAGCCACAGGAGGGUCAAUGGCCGGCUGCAUGUUAAGCUCUUAGAGCCAGCCUGGCAUUCUGGAAGUGCUCAGUGUUCGCAGGGUCCAUUUACUAACUGUCACUUGACUGAUCAGGUCCCCACUACACACUGAGUCCUCUUAAUCUGCCUGGCCUGUAAACACACAGCUCCCCGUAAGGGACAAAAGUGGGCAGGGAAAUCCAGUGUUCAGAUGGGUGAGCUAAGACAACGAGGCAGGAAGAAUGGCCUUUGGGCCCCAGUGAGGCUUUCUCUGGUAAGUGAAACAGGAAGGAAAGCGCAGCCUAGAGCACGAAGACUGCAAAGAACAAGAUCAGAACACAAGUCGAGUUCCUGGGAUGCUGUGUGCAAUUUGGGGAGCAGGGGAGAGGGAAUGGAAAAGAGGUCUCAGAAGUUCCUGAGUGUCAGGCCAUGGCCAGGGGCUCCUGACAUCUGUCAGUUCCUGAUCAUUCCGGAUCAUUGCCUAGCCUAGACCUCUCCUCUUCUUGAGCAGUACGUGAGCAAACCAGAGUUUCACUCCUAGCUCACAUGUUAAGGGAGUGUGUGUAAGGGAGCACCCCCCCCCCCCGGGGUGACAGGUGGAGGUAUGGGCUUAGGGUGACCAGAUGUUCUGAUUUUAUUUUUUGUUAAAAAGACCUUGAAUUUGGAAAUGCGCAUGGAAUGUCCCAAUUCUUAAAUGUUGUGUAACAAAUGCAAGACAAAGAGGCAUUUAUAAACAGCGAGGCUGGGAGCCCAGUGUGUGACUCUGUGGGCUGAAGGCAGGGGCAGCCUAUCUUUAAAAAGGCACCUGGGCAGGUGGAAGCCAUGUGGGACUCCUGAGGCAACCAGACAGCUAAGCCACAGGCAGAGAGAUGGUCUUGGAAACCCCUGUCCACUGCUGGGCCUCAGUUUCCCUGGAUGAAAAGCAAGGGGGUGCCUGAAAGGUGAAGACAGAAAUGGCUGGAGUACCCUGUGGGGACUACAAUCCAGCCAGUCUCUUGCCAUGUCACCGUCAGAGUGGACGUACUAUCUCAAAACCGGGAGUUCGUGAUUAGCCAGAGUCUGCUCAACAGGAGCAAGAAGUGGUGGAGGGUAGAACAUGGGCGUCUACUCUGGGGCAAGAAGGGGAGUGAAGGAGAUGGAGGGAGGUUGAUCAUGUAUGUACAGCAUCGUGGACAGCAGGGAUCAUGUAUGUGCAGCAUCGAGGACAGUAGGGAUCACAUAUGUACAGCAUCAAGGACAGCAGGGAUCAUGUAUGUGCAGCAUCAAGGACAGCAGGGAUCAUGUAUGUGCAGCAUCGAGGACAGCAGGGAUCAUGUAUGUACAGCAUCAAGGACAGCAGGGAUCAUGUAUGUAUAGCAUCGAGGACAGUAGGGAUCACAUAUGUACAGCAUCAAGAACAUCAGGGAUCAUGUAUGUGCAGCAUCAAGGACAGUAGGGAUCAUGUAUGUGCAGCAUCGAGGACAGCAGGGAUCAUGUAUGUGCAGCAUCGAGGACAGCAGGGAUCACAUAUGUACAGCAUCAAGGACAUCAGGGAUCAUGUAUGUGCAGCAUGGAGGACAGCAUGGCCCGGGGUCUCAGCACUAGGGAAAGAAAAUGCAAGUGCAGACGGCUGGCUGGAAUGGAGGCAGGAGUGUUAACUCAGCAUCUCAGUCUGUGCAAGCACGUGGAAAGGGACUCGUGCACGUCAUGCACACAUACACAUUCCCCAGAUCUUUUUACAGACAGAGCUCACAAGGCACAAGGACAUGGCCAACAGCUAACAGCCAAAACCUGAUCUGCGAAGCACUCAGAAAUGGCUGGCUCUUGAGCUGAAUGGAGAAAGGCAGGAUAAGCCGGGAGCAGCUGCUUAGGUCAGCACUGGGGACCACUGUCCUCUGGGUAGAACACGGCCUUUGCCAUCCCGAAAUCAAAUCAGUUGUGGUGACCGGAGAAGAGCCUCAAUAGAUGGGAGGCUACCAUGGAGGGGAGGGAGGGCUUUGGGUUCUGAAGGAAAGAGUUCAAGGGGCACACACCAGUCACCUAAGGCUCCCCUCAGGAUACACAAGUGAUUAGGAGGUGCUGGGGGAGGGGAAGCCACAGGUAAGCUUAGGUAACGCCUCACCCAUUCCUUCACACAACUCUAAGUAACUCCAGUAAACUCAUUGGUUCAGCAGGCUGAGUUCUAAGUUUGGUCUGUUGUCAGCAGCCUGUUUGGGGCGAAUAGAUGUUGUGUCUCCCAGGAAAAGCUAAUGUGAUAGUCUGAACUUACUCUCACAAUGGGGGUAGGUGUUCAGAGAUAAGACGGUAUAAAAGGGCUCUUGCUGGCCAGAGGACAGACAACGUGAGACUCAAAAUGAGUGAGACGGUGAGUCCUGGUAAAGCAGGAAGUCAGGCAUCCGGGAGGAAGGAAUGGAUGGAUAAGGCAGGAGGCGAGGAACGGAAUGCUGCUGUUACUCUGAAGCACCUCCCCAUAAAAUACUAAUUAUAAAGUGGGGGGAUGUGGCUCUGAUGGAAGAAACUUGGCAGACAUCGUGCUGAUCGAAGAUGCCACCAUCAGAAAGACAUGACAUCCCCCGAAUGGCAUCAACUCAGGGUGAGGGAUCCUGUCCACCACAGACACCUCAAUCUGAUCAUGAGGAGCCGCUGCAGACAUGACAGAUGCCCGAGUGUGUGUCACAGGUGGGAGGCUGUAAAGGUAACCUGGGCACUAUCCCAAAAGAGGGACUCAUGGGACAAACUGACUGAACUUGGUGUGGGAUGACAACAGACUUCCUUUUCUGGAGUUAAGAACUUUUGAGCAAGCCCUGGGGUCUUGCUGGUAUUACCAUAUAACGUUCCUUCUUAUUCGUGUUUGGAUAGAGGCAUUAAGGUUAUGUCUGCCAGCUUUUCAUGGCUGUGACAAAAUACCAGAGAAGAUCAGCUUCACAGAAGAAAGGUUUGUUUUGGCUCAGGGCUCCAGGGCUUGAGGUCUCAGUCUGGCUUCUGCUGCUUGGGUCCUAGAGUGCAGUAGAGUAUCUAAUCUCAGUGGUAGAAGCAGGAGGCAGGAAGGUGGUCAACAGACAGACAGACAGACAGACAGCAAGGGACCAGGGACAAGAUUCCCUCCCAGGACAACCCCCGGUGACCUGCUUCUUCUUGCUCAGCCCCAGCUCUUAAAACUUCCUAUUUCCCAUGUCACUGAGUCCUUUGAGCUAUAAAGCCACUAGCAGGCGAGUCCAUGGAUGACGCUGGAGUCCUCAUAUCCAAUCUGCUUUAACAUUGCUGUCCUGGGGACCACGCCUUUAAGCACAGGGCCUCUGGGGACAUUAUAGAUCCAGUCCAGGACAUGAUGUAAGAUGCUGACCUUUGGGGACACUCGGGUAAAGGGCAUAUGGGAAUUCUGCUAUUUUUUGCAACUUGGGGAUAAGUAUAAAACUAUUUCACAAUGAAUAGAGAUUACUUUUAAAAUUCACAUGGAAAAAAAUAAAGUGAGGCUGCCACUCAAAAUGUUUUGGGAAGAAGCUUGGUCCUUGUGGGCACCUGAAUUAGAGGUGCUGUGCUUGCCGGGUGCUGUGGGGCAAGCUUGUUGGGGGACCAGGGGCAGGGAGAUGUCCAAUUAAAGCUGUAACAGGGAGGUGAGACCCAGACCAAAGCACAGGAGGCAAAGUUCUAGAAGUCAUGAGGCCAAGCAGCCCAGAUGGGGCCCUUUCACGUACACAUUUAGCCUUGUGGUGGGUACCCACCUCUCUGACUACGGUGUCCCACCCUCCUGGGGACAUCUGAGGCUCAGGUGGAGGGAAUCCCUAUGUCACUGAGUUCCUGGGUAGCAGAACCUGGUGUGGAAUCCCCAAGCCAUCAUCUUCCUGUCAACCCACACUCUGGGGACCGCACUCAUGGUCUCUUACUGUCAAAUGAGACCAAGGUCUCAAGGCUUCGAUCAUUUACUUUUCUAAGGAUGCUGCCUGAUAGGCCAGGGGAACUUCAGAAACCCAUCAUUCGUUCAGCAAAUACGUAUUAAACAUGCACGGAAUGCAGCAGUGUUCUAGAAGGUCUGGAAAAGGAACCCACCAAGGCAGAUAUGGUCUCCGCCCUCAAAAAGCUGCCAGCCUAGCAAAACUUUGGGUGGCUCAGCAGAGGACACCUGUGACAAGUGACAAAGCUCUAUUCCCACACGACAGACCCAAGUUGGAGAGUGGUGAUGGGGUAAAGGGGGAACAGAAAAGGAACCUGGUUUCAGAGGUAACCACAAAACGAGUGAGUCAGGAAUGACUGUCACUGGGAAACCGGCCCACCAGGAGGCUAGUGAGAAGCCCAGGCAUGUGACAGAUGAGGAAGUGAGAUGUGCAUCCUCUGGCUCAGAUUAGUCAGGCCCUCGCAGUGGUGAUGCGAUCAGUCUUAGCCAUUCUGCCUCAGAGAAUGUGGAGGAAAGGGUAAAGAACACGGGAGAGAAACAGGAUGUUUGCUGUUGCCCAGUGCUGGGGUUCACCUGCAUUCUCACUCUACUCCCGGGACCAGCCUGAGUUAGGUCUGGUCUCAUUUCGUAUAUGGAGAUCAGAAAGGAAGUACCUUGGAGGGAUCUCCUGUAUCCCUGCCUUUCACAUUCUCACUGAUUCUACUGAAGAAGAAAGCUUCCGGAUCUGUCACCGCUCAGCCACCACAGAGAAAGGUGAAGAGUAGGUUCAUUCCCUGCCCAUCCCUCAGCCUGGGAGUUUCUUAGCCUUUCAGCUAAUUAAUAGAUGAACACAAGAAUGAGGCAUGGUGGCCCACAUCUUUACUCCCAGCAGAGACAGGUGAGGUCUCUGAGUUUGAGGCCAGCCUGGUCUACAGAUUGAGUUCCAGGACAGCCAGGGCUCCAGUGAGGCCCAGUCUCAAAACAACAAUGAACCAAACCAAACAAAAAAGGCCUAGGGGCAGGGGUGUUGUUCCAUUUGUGGAGUGCUUGCCUACUGUGGGCGAAGCCCUUGGCUUGCCCUCCCACACCCAACACCAUAUAAACUAAGUGUGUGAUGUAGGACCCUAAGCUGGAGGAUCCAAAGUUCAAGGUCAUCCUCAGCUACACAGCAAGUCUGUGGCCCACAUAGGCUAUAGGAGACCCUUUUCAUCAAAAGAAUGAGGCCCAAGGCUGCCCUGGGAGCCCAGAGGAAGGUGAACACUUGUAGACUCCACACUCAGGCUACAUUGGAGGUUAUGGCAGGAGGUCAAUUUGGGCUACAGAGUGAAACUCUGUCCCAACAAAGAGAAGGGUGGGACCUGGGGAGAUGGCUCGGGGGUAAAGUGCCAGCAAGCCCAGCACACACAGAAAAGCUGAGCUCGGUAUACCUGUAACCAGCACUGGAGGACAGAGGCAGGUGGGUCCUGGUACUGGUUGGCCAGUGUUCUAGGUUCAGUGGGAGGCCUCACGAAGUAAGCUUGGACUGAGGAGAUGGCUCAGCAGCUAAAAUGCUUCCCACACAACCCAAAGGACCAAAUCCCCAGGACCCACACAAAUACUGGGGAGCAUGAUGGCCCGUCUCUCCUUCCUGUCUCUAGAUUCUGCUUCAAAGAAACAGACAUACAGAGGGCUGCUGGAAGAAGGUACCUAACAUCAACUUCUACAUGCAUACAUGUGUGCACACAUAUGUAUACCCCCAGCAUGAUCAUGCAUACAUACCCAUGCACACCAGCACAUGAAAAGGGGGAGCUAAACUGAGGAGGCACCUAACUUCUGGCCUUCAUAGACACCCACAAGAGUGAACACACACACACACACACACACACACACACACACACACCAAAGCAAGCCAACAAAACAAAAACUCAAUCAGCCAAACAACAACAAAAUAAAACAAAGCCGAAAUUAAAUCAACUAAAGCCUUGAAACACGGUGGGCAGUGGCGGCGGCCAGUGGCGGCAUAGGGAACACACCUGUUAUCAUUUGAUGGGGAUUUGAGGGAAUUUUUUUUUUAAUAAGGCAAAAAUCAGUUGAAAAUAAAGCAAGAGAUCAACCCGGACUGAAGAAAGCCCAGCCUCGGUGCAGAUGCCAACAGGACUAGAGCAAGACCUGGAGUGGGCAGACAGGACCUUGGCCACCCGAUGGGAGUGCUACAAACAUCUGUCACCAUUGUCAGCCCUAGGAACAUCCCCACGGCUACCCUAUGUUACCUGCUCAACUUAGAAGAGAGACCAGAGGCCCCAGGAGCAGCUCACCCAGUGUAAGCAUUUGAUAUGGAGCCUGGUAUGGCAGUGCUCACUGUAAUCCCAGCUACUAAGGAAGCUGAGGCAGGGAGACUGCAGGGCCCAGCAAAGAGCCAGUCAAACAGCGUGUAGCGUGGGUCCACGGGUAUUCCCUACUCUUCCUGUUGCUUGAGAAAAAUGACAGAAGGUUUAUUCUGGCUCUUGGUUCCAGGGCACAGCCUAUGGUGUGAGGAAGGCAUGUCGGUAAAGCAUGGAGCAGAGAGAGAAAAACGCUGGCGCUUAGCUCCCCGUUAUUCAGUCUGGUAUCUCAGGGCCUUCGGGAUGGUGCUGUCUGGCCGAGUUCAGGGUUGAGUCUUCCCUGCUCAGUUAAACCUUUCUGGAAACAUCUUCAAAGACACACUCAGAUGUGUGUGUUUCCAUGGCGAUGCCAAACCCCAUCAAAUUGACAAUAAAGACUCAGUCACCACAGCCUGGCAGUUUCUGUGUCCUUGAGAGCUGCAUGCCAGGGAAUCUGUGAGGAAUCGUGGUGCCGCUGCGUCUCCUGGGAGGUGUGGGGCACGGAGACAGUUUGGUCACCACUACUGGGGCCGAGGUGUUAUUGGCACCUUGUACACAGAGGCCAGGGAUGCUACUGGCCUUCCAGCUGCACGGACAGCUCCAGGAGGGAGAAGGACUAUAACCACUGUCCACAGGCCUGCAGCCGAGAAAGCUGUUCUUCGUGGAAUAGAAGAACAUCAAGGAAGGGGUUCAUUUCCCCACCCAUCCUGUGUCCCCCAUCAAGAGGCCUCAGGGGUUCUGCUCCAGCUAGUGAACUCAUAGCCAUGGCCCUGAUGGCCCCACAGACACCAUGAUCCUAGAAUUAAGUAGUCUUUCUGGUCUUUUUCCACUCCGCAUCUGAAAAGGCAAAGUUUAUGUGGGAAAACUGGACAGAAGGAACCCACAGGAGGAGGGUCAAAGCGCCUGGGUCUGCCUUCCGCCUUGCUAUGAAGGCACAGUUAAAUAUGUGUGCCGCCAUUCUUUUCACAGCGCACUGUGCAAACCCUCCCUUGGUGCUAAGGAGGAAACGGAGCCGUGGGAACAUACGUCAACAUCAGUGCUGGGAAUCAGCAGGAUUUACUCACAGAAAUUCAAUCUGCAGUCCACCUCCAGCCUAUAGAGGGAGGGGCUGCAGCCUGACUCAAAAUAAACACGCAUGCCUUCUCCACUCCAGUGAGGAAGUAAGUGCUGGGAGGACCAUAUGACUUCAUCUGUGACUUCCUUCCACGGCGCAAUGCCUCGGCUGAGCUAUUUUAACUGUGCGCCCUGGGCCUUGCUUCUCCCCGUUCUUGCAGUUGAGUCUCCGUAGCUCUGUGCUUCCCUGGAUGUGGGUGGCUCCAAGGGAGGAUGUCACUGUUUCCAAAGCUUAAUGAAAUUACAUGCCAUUUACGAGCAAGUCAUUGGGUAGUGGGUCAUCUGUCCCCCAAAAUAGCUGUUAAGACACUUAGCUGGACCUCUGGCCUGGUCGGCCCUGCCCACUGGCCUGGCAGAGACCUUGGUGUGGGGCCAGGGAGUGAGGCAGAACACGCACACUCACUUGCUCUUAGCCGUUCUUUCAUCUUGAAGAGCAUCAGUGGGGCAGGGGUGCAUGACCGAGAUGCACACACAGGUAAAUGUGCAUACUUAGGCCCGGAGGGGCAUGGUGAGAGUGAGCCUUGGAACAGCUGUGACUAUAGGAACCCUGAAAGGACAUUCUACGUGGUUAUGCACUCUUACCAUCAUCUCCUGUGGAUGGGACAGAGCCUGGCUGGAGACAGCCAGGGUGAGCGAGAAGCAGUGAUAAAAAUCAUCACAGCUGUGCUGCCCCCUCUCCCCUCCCUCACCCUUCUCUCCCCCACCCUCUCCCCUGUGAUGAGGGCUCACUUGUGCUCCAGGCCUAGACUUUGACUCACUAUUUCAUCACUUUCCUAACCCUAUGUGGUAGGUCAUGUGUCUCCUCCCAGCUCACCCCUGAUGUAGGGCUACAUUGAACUCAGUUUGCCUCAGGAUAUCUGCCUUCUACCCAGGAUGCCACACAUCUGCCUGGAGGAGGGUAGGGUGUGAUGGCCAGCACAUGUUGCUGUGUGACGCUUAAGUCCCUGAUUCGGAUAUGGUGGAUACGGUUUUCUCCAUCUAGCCCAGCCUCUGAGCUGCUGCCAUGACACCUGGUACUCACACAGAGCCCUCUAGCCUCUGCAUGGCCUCCAGCUUUAUUUAGCAUCCUCCACUUCUGCCCCAUGCUCCCAUACGUGACCUCUCCAGUCCCAGAACAGUCUUCGUGACCACAGAGUUCCUCCCGGCCUUUCUCCUCCUCCCUUCCCACAAACGCCAAGUGUGGCUGAAGGGGAAGAGGUGUUGCUGUGGCAGCCAC